rnacentral:rRNA from 1 species
GUUAUAGUUUAUUUGAUAUAUUAAAUGGAUAACUGUAGAAAAACUAGAGCUAAUACAUGCCGAAGCCGCAAGGUUGUAUUUAUUAGAUAUUCCAAUUAGGUGAAUCAUGAUAACUUUUCAAAUCUCGGUUUUGCCGAGAUAAAUCAUCCAAGUUUCUGCCCUAUCAUGCUUUCGAUGGUAGUGUAUUGGACUACCAUGGCUUUCACGGGUAACAGGGAAUUAGGGUUCGAUUCUGGAGAAGGAGCCUGAGAAACGGCUACUACAUCUACGGAAGGCAGCAGGCGCGUAAAUUACCCAAUCCUGACUCAGGGAGGUGGUGACAAGAUAUAACAACGCAAUUUAAUUGUGAUUGUAGUGAGGGUUUUCCAAACCGAACCACUAGUACGAUUAGAGGGCAAGUCUGGUGCCAGCAGCCGCGGUAAUUCCAGCUCUAAUAGCGUAUAUUAAAGUUGCUGCACUUAAAAAGCUCGUAGUUGGAUUUCAAGGAUUGUGUACUCUUCUAGGGUAUGCACCCUACUAGUCUUUGACUGUUACUGUGAGAAAAUUAGAGUGUUUAAAGCAGGCAAUUGCAAGAAUACAUUAGCCUGGAAUAACGAAUGUAUCUAGAAUCUUGGUUAAUUCUAGGUUUCAAUUAAUAGAGACAGUUGGGGGCAUUAGUAUUUAAUUGUCAGAGGUGAAAUUCUUGGAUUUUGUUAAAGACUAACGUAUGC